GCUGCACCCUGGCUCCCCAGGGGGAACCCUCAAUCCUUGAGCGAUUUGAAGGUGGAGAGGAAAAAUACCUUCAGGACAAUCAUUGCAACGUUGCAUUAAG